rnacentral:misc_RNA from 1 species
AAGUCGUAACAAGGUUUCCGUAGGUGAACCUGCGGAAGGAUCAUUAAUGAGUUAUGUUCUUUAUUGAACAAUCAUCUCUAAACACAUAUGUGAACUUUCUUUUUUUCUGAUUCUUUAUUGAGUUGGAAAAAAGGGCACAAACAUUUUUUUAAAUGCUUAUAUUUUACUUUAUAGUCUGAAUGAAAAAUCAAAACAAAACAAAUUAAAACUUUCAACAACGGAUCUCUUGGUUCUC